GAUCAUGGCUCAGGAUGAACGCUGGCGGCGUGCUUAACACAUGCAAGUCGAACGGGGAUUAUUUCAUUGAAGCUUCGGCAGAUUUGGCUUAAUCCUAGUGGCGGACGGGUGAGUAACGCGUGGGUAACCUGCCUUGUACAGGGGGAUAACAGUCAGAAAUGACUGCUAAUACCGCAUAAGCGCACAGGACCGCAUCGGGUCCGGUGUAGAAAACGUCCGGUGGUAAUAAGAGUCGGACCCGUCGGUUGGAUUA
rnacentral:rRNA from 1 species